GUUUACUUUUAUAAAUUGUUAUUUGGAUGGAGAGUUGUCUCAUUGGCACUCAUACCACAUCUUCCUAUAUCGUGGACGUGAUGUUUUGUUUGUGUCUUACUUUACCAUAACCCCGUAUCUCUUAACUAUAUUAUUAAGUGUCACAAUUCCGGUGACCUUAGAACAGAGGUCAUACGGUACAAAUGCACCUGUAUGAAUCAAUUCAAUGACCCCAGGACUAGGUCAAGAUUACUGCCAGGUAAUGACCGAUAGGACGAACACCCUAACACCCUUGACCUAGAUUUAGUCCUAUAAAUG
rnacentral:lncRNA from 1 species